AACGAGGCUAGAGUCACGCCUGGACAUUUUCUGUUGUCUUGGUGUGCUAGAGUGCUCGUAGAUUAAAAGUCUUUGCUUAUUCAUUGGCUGUAGUCUGUCGUGGCCCAGCCAAUCACCAACUCAGAUACAUUU
ensembl:snoRNA small nucleolar RNA SNORA3/SNORA45 family